UAGAGUUUGAUCCUGGCUCAGAACGAACGUUGGCGGCGUGGAUUAGGCAUGCAAGUCGAACGAAUCCCGGUGGGGGUAACUCUGCCGGGGGAAGUGGCGAAAGGGGCAGUAAGGCGUGGCUAACCUACCCCGGGGAUGGGCAUAGCCUCCCUAACGGGAGGGUAAUUCCCAGCGAUCUGUUUGGGGGGCAUCCCCCGGACAGGAAACGAAUUUCGCCUCGGGCGGGGGUCACGUGCUAUUAGCUCGUUGGCGGGGUAACGGCCCACCAAGGCGUAGAUGGCUAGCGGGUGUGAGAGCACGACCCGCGCCACUGGCACUGAGACACUGGCCAGACUCCUACGGGAGGCUGCAGUCGAGGAUCUUCGGCAAUGGGCGCAAGCCUGACCGAGCGACGCCGCGUGGGCGAUGAAGGCCUUCGGGUUGUAAAGCCCUGUCGCGGGGGAGGAAGCCGCAAGGUUGACCGACCCCGGGAGGAAGCACGGGCUAAGUUCGUGCCAGCAGCCGCGGUAAGACGAACCGUGCGAACGUUGUUCGGAAUCACUGGGCUUAAAGGGCGCGUAGGCGGCCCCUCAAGUCCGGGGUGAAAGCCCCCAGCUCAACUGGGGAAGUGCCUCGGAUACUGGGGGGCUCGAGGGGGAUAGGGGCGGACGGAACUUCCGGUGGAGCGGUGAAAUGCGUUGAUAUCGGAAGGAACGCCGGUGGCGAAAGCGGUCCGCUGGGUCCCUACUGACGCUGAGGCGCGAAAGCCAGGGGAGCAAACGGGAUUAGAUACCCCGGUAGUCCUGGCCCUAAACGAUGGGUACUAGGCUGUGGGCUUGACAUGGGCGCACAGCCGAAGCGAAAGUCCUAAGUACCCCGCCUGGGGAGUAUGGUCGCAAGGCUGAAACUCAAAGGAAUUGACGGGGGCCCGCACAAGCGGUGGAGCAUGUGGUUUAAUUCGACGCAACGCGAAGAACCUUACCUAGGCUUGACAUGUACGGGAAACCCUUGAGAAACCAGGGGCCCUCUUCGGAGUCCGUGCACAGGUGCUGCAUGGCUGUCGUCAGCUCGUGUCGUGAGAUGUUGGGUUAAGUCCCGCAACGAGCGCAACCCCCGUUCCCAGUUGCCAGCGAGUAAAGUCGGGGACUCUGGGAAGACUGCCGGUGCCAAACCGGAGGAAGGUGGGGACGACGUCAAGUCAUCAUGGUCCUUACGUCUAGGGCUACACACGUGCUACAAUGGCCGGUACAGAGGGUUGCGAGCUAGCGAUAGUGAGCCAAUCCCCGAAAGCCGGCCUCAGUGCGGAUUGGAGGCUGCAACUCGCCUCCAUGAAGCUGGAAUCGCUAGUAAUCGUGGAUCAGCUACGCCACGGUGAAUACGUUCCCGGGCCUUGUACACACCGCCCGUCACGCCAUGGAAGCUGUGAGCGCCCGAAGUCCGUGUCGGAACCGCAAGGACCAAGCGGCCGAAGGCGAGCGCAGUGACUGGGGCGAAGUCGUAACAAGGUAACCGUA
rnacentral:rRNA from 1 species